rnacentral:rRNA from 1 species
AUUGAACGCUGGCGGCAUGCCUUACACAUGCAAGUCGAACGGCAGCACGGGUGCUUGCACCUGGUGGCGAGUGGCGAACGGGUGAGUAAUACAUCGGAACGUACCUUAUCGUGGGGGAUAACGCAGCGAAAGCUGUGCUGAUACCGCAUACGCCCUGAGGGGGAAAGCGGGGGAUCGCAAGACCUCGCGCGAUUAGAGCGGCCGAUGCCUGAUUAGCUUGUUGGUGGGGUAAAAGCCCACCAAGGCGACGAUCAGUAGCUGGUCUGAGAGGACGAUCAGACACACUGGGACUGAGACACGGCCCAGACUCCGACGGGAGGCAGCAGUGGGGAAUUUUGGACAAUGGGGGCAACCCUGAUCCAGCAAUGCCGCGUGAGUGAAGAAGGCCUUCGGGUUGUAAAGCUCUUUUGUCAGGGAAGAAACACCGGCUCUAACACAGUCUGGGAAUGACGGUACCUGAAGAAUAAGCACCGGCUAACUACGUGCCAGCAGCCGCCGUAA